rnacentral:rRNA from 1 species
GAUCAGCCGGUACUCCGAAUGACUAGGUUNNAAGUUUGAUCAUGGCUCAGAUCAACGCUGUAGGCAUGCUUUACACAUGCAAGUCGAACGGUAACAGGUCUUCGGAUGCUGACGAGUGGCGAACGGGUGAGUAAUACAUCGGAACGUGCCUAGUAGUGGGGGAUAACUACUCGAAAGAGUAGCUAAUACCGCAUGAGAUCUACGGAUGAAAGCAGGGACCUUCGGGCCUUGUGCUACUAGAGCGGCUGAUGGCAGAUUAGGUAGUUGGUGGGGUAAAGGCUUACCAAGCCUGCGAUCUGUAGCUGGUCUGAGAGGACGACCAGCCACACUGGGACUGAGACACGGCCCAGACUCCUACGGGAGGCAGCAGUGGGGAAUUUUGGACAAUGGGCGAAGGCCUGAUCCAGCAAUGCCGCGUGCAGGAUGAAGGCCCUCGGGUUGUAAACUGCUCUUGUACGGAACGAAAAGCCUGGGGCUAAUACCCCCGGGUCAUGACGGUACCGUUAAGAAUAAGCACCGGCUAAACUUACGUGCCAGCAGCCGCGGUAAUACGUAGGGUGCAAGCGUUAAAUCGGAAUUACUGGGCGUAAAGCGUGCGCAAGGCGGUUUUGUAGGACAGUGGGUUGAAAAUUCCCCGGGGGCUCAACNUGGGAACUUGCCAUUUGUGACUUGCAAGGGCUAAAGUGCGGCAGAGGGGGGGAUUGGACUUCCGCGUGUUACCAGUGAAUGCGUUAAUUGCGGAAGAACACCGAUGGCGAAGGAAUCACCUGUGGCUUGACUUGACUCAUUGCCAAGGUGGGACACGGAUCUUCCCUGUNUCCGCCUAAAAUUAAGNUGUGNUUUCAUCNAAAAAACUAAUAUCCCGGNAC